rnacentral:lncRNA from 1 species
ACGUAUUGUGAUAAGGAUUUCGCCAAGAUUUCCAGUUAUUUGUCCCACGUGAGACUCAUACACGCCGCCGAGUUGCCGUGGUGUGAACUGUGCGGGGAGUCUUUCAUAGGCGAGAAAGGUGUACAAGCACACAAAAAGUUGAGUCACAAAGGCGUGGACGCGUCUAAGUUCGUCUGUAAUAGUUGCAAAACAAGUUUCAUUGAUGAGAGCGCAUUGGAAAGACAUACAGCUCAAAAAAGAUGCGACUUAGCGAAUUGCGUUCAAUGUGGUGACGCGUUCGCCAGUCAGCAAUUACUCAAAUAUCAUCU